UUGUUUGGAGAGUUUGAUCCUGGCUCAGGACGAACGCUGGCGGCGUGCUUAACACAUGCAAGUCGAACGGAAAGGCCCUUCGGGGUACUCGAGUGGCGAACGGGUGAGUAACACGUGGGUGAUCU
rnacentral:rRNA from 1 species